GGAACGGCCGGGCCCCUCACCUUCCUCUCGCGGCUCUUGCGCUCCUCUCGGCGCCUCUCGAACUCCUCGAAGGAGAUUUUCCCCUCCAGAUAAUUAUAUCUGGCACAAGGAUCUCCAAGGUAAGCUAGAUAUGGUGCAAUUUCCUGGUGUUGGAAGAUAGCAAGAUUGCAUCUGGGGAUACUAGAGUGGAUGAUUCCAAGGUAUUCUAGACAAAGAUGCUAACAAGGACUACGCUCUUUAACUUGUUCUUAUUCAAUAAUAUCAGUUCAAAACUGCUAUGACAUUUGAUUGUAGUUCUCAUAUAUUUUGCUCCUUACAGUUUAAAGAACAUUUUAGUUACAGCAGUUGCACUAAACUAUCAUUUUUCAAGUUGGGAAUCUUGGUCAUUCUUUAGCACCAGUCCAUUAUUAUUAAUAAUAAAUAUUUGUAUAAAAUGCCAUACCAGUAGGUGUGUAUCUUUAUUUAUUGAGAUUUAAACUUUUUAAAGACACUGAUCUAUGGCUCUAGGAACUCUGACAUCGCUAACACAAAUAAAAUUCCAGCUGCAUUAUUUUGCUAUCUAUAGUAAUCUGUGUGCUAGGUACACACAUUAUCUUAUAAGGUUACACUAGGAGUUAUUAUAAUAUUUAGACUAGAUUGUUUUUGUUAUUUGUGGGCAGCUUGGAGACAUUGAGCUCUUAAGUACAUGCAUUCUUGCUUUCAGAUCAGCACCACGGACAGCAACAACAUGAGAAAUAGAAUGAAGGAGAAAAGGCUGAGUAAACUGCAUGGGGUUUCAGUUAUUUUAAAUUAACCAGUCUGACUGAAUAAGCUAAUCACAGCACACACAAACACACCCCACACUCUUUAAUGUCUGUCAAGCAGAUGCUUCUCAUAUAAGGCAGAUAAAAGCUGAGAAGGACCUCAGUGUCCCCUCGUGAGGAGAACUUCUGGUUUCAUGCCAGUUCCAGGGCAUUCACUAGAAUUCACUCAGCAAUUCUGUUUGUAGAGUUUCUCUCUUUUUAGACACAGAAGAGGCUACGUUUGUCCUGGAGGUUUCUACAGAUUUCAAUGAGACCAGAAAGAGAACAUAAACAGACCCAAUAAUUAACUCAUCUUUGUCUUUGCUAUUUACUUUCCCCCCCUAGAAACAGUUAUUAAAAAAAGUUAACUGGCCACCCUGCAUGAAAAAACAAACUUUUGCUCCUUGAUUAAGAGAUCUCAGUACUGGAACUCUGGUGAUCUGGAUUGAAUGUCUGGCUCUGCUACUGGCUUCCUGCAUGAUCGUGGGCAAGUCACAUAACCUUUGUGCCUCACUUCCCUGUCUGUAACAUGGGGAUUGUUUUUUCUAUUUAGAUUGUAGGGGCUUCAGGCAGGGAUUGGCUUUUGCUAAGCAUCUGUACCACACCAAGCACCAGGCCCUCCCCUCUGUUGAGGCCUCUAAGCACUACUGUAAUACAAAUAAUAAUAUUUUAAAAAUA